rnacentral:rRNA from 1 species
GUGCCAGCAGCCGCGGUAAAACGUAGGAGGCGAGCGUUAUCCGGAUUUACUGGGUGUAAAGCGCGUGCAGGCGGUACGCUAAGUUGGGUGUGAAAGCUCCUGGCUCAACUGGGAGAGGUCGCUCAAGACUGGCGCACUAGAGGAUGGUAGGGGAAGGUGGAAUUCCGGGUGUAGUGGUGAAAUGCGUAGAUAUCCGGAGGAACACCAGUGGCGAAGGCGGCCUUCUGGGCCAUCUCUGACGCUCAGACGCGAAAGCUAGGGUAGCAAACGGGAUUAGAUACCCGCGUAGUCC